rnacentral:tRNA from 1 species
GCCGGAGUGGUGGAAUAGGUAGACACGAGGGACUUAAAAUCCCUUGCUUUUGCGAGCGUACGGGUUCGAUUCCCGUCUCUGGUA